UUUGCGGGUGGACUGCUGAGGGUUCCUGGAAAGGUGUUGCUUAGCGGGGAUCAGAUUCCCGACAGAGCUCAGCGCCGGUCUUUCCGGUCACGUGCUGCACGUAGCUGCGGUUAGACUCGCUAUUGCUAGGCAACGGCUUGCACGCUUUGUCCGGUGCUGCAUCCUAGCUGUGGAGGAUCUGGGCGCCAUAGGCGGACAUGGACCAGUACUGCAUCCUCGGUCGCAUCGGGGAGGGCGCCCAUGGCAUCGUCUUCAAAGCCAAGCACGUAGAGACUGGAGAAAUCGUUGCCCUCAAGAAGGUGGCCCUGCGGCGGCUGGAGGAUGGCAUUCCUAACCAGGCCCUAAGGGAAAUCAAGGCUCUGCAGGAGAUGGAGGACAGUCAGUAUGUGGUACAGCUGAAAGCCGUGUUCCCACAUGGUGCAGGAUUUGUGCUGGCCUUCGAGUUUAUGCUGUCAGACCUGGCAGAGGUGGUGCGCCAUGCUGAAAGGCCCCUGGCCCCAGCACAGGUCAAGAGCUACCUGCAGAUGCUGUUCAAAGGUGUUGCAUUUUGCCACGCCAACAACAUUGUGCAUCGGGACCUGAAGCCCGCCAACCUGCUCAUCAGUGCCUCAGGCGAGCUCAAGAUCGCGGACUUUGGCCUGGCCCGCAUCUUCUCUCCAGAUGGUGGUCGCCUCUACACACAUCAAGUGGCUACCAGGUGGUACCGAGCUCCUGAGCUCCUGUAUGGUGCCCGGCAGUAUGACCAGGGCGUCGACCUAUGGGCUGUGGGCUGCAUUAUGGGAGAACUGUUGAAUGGGUCCCCCCUGUUCCCGGGAGAGAAUGACAUCGAGCAACUUUGCUGUGUGUUUCGCAUCCUGGGCACGCCCAGUCCUCGAGUCUGGCCGGAGAUCACAGAGCUGCCUGACUACAACAAGAUCGCCUUCAAGGAGCAGGCACCGGUGCCCCUGGAGGAGGUGCUGCCUGAUGCCUCUCCCCAGGCCUUGGACCUGCUGGGCCAGUUCCUCCUCUACCCUCCACACCAGCGUAUUGCAGCCUCCCAGGCCCUUCUGCAUCAGUACUUCUUCACAGCUCCUCUGCCUGCCCAUCCCUCUGAGCUGCCAAUUCCUCAGCGCCCAGGCCCCCCUCAUGUCCAUGACUUCGAUGUGGACCGUCCUCUUGAGGAGUCACUGCUGAACCCAGAGCUGAUUCGGCCCUUCAUCCCAGAGGGGUGCUCGCCUAGUCCUGCCUGCUUGCCCCAGGAGCAUCUAGACAGCUGUUCCUCUGCCUUUUCCUGAUUUGUCUCCAUAGCCUCCCCAUGGAUACACACACCACAUGCUGGACAGUUAGUUUUUCUGUAGGACGAGGUGAGAAGAGCUCCGGUGGUCGCGUCAUCCUUGCUGGACGAGGGGGGCCGUGACAGUUGGUGGCCCGUACGGGGACAAGACAAGUGGUGCCGCGUACGGGGAACCUCCAAACCUCUCUCCGUGGAGCCCAGAACUUGCUGCAGUCAGGGGGUGCACCGGAUAAUCCUCAGGUAAAGGCUGGGGAUCCGCGAGAAAAGCGGGUUUUCCGCUCUCGCCGGUAGAAGGGAGAGUGGGGGUAAAUAGGGCUGCGACUAUAGCAGACGGAUCAAAGUGAGAGCCACGACCAAAGUGGACGGUUUAAAGUAAAACUAAAAGGAAGAAUGGGAUUUUAGAAUGGGCGCUUCAACAUCACACCUGAUUUUUCUGGCUCUUAACGAGCUGAUAAGGAGCGCAUUGGAAAAGUUUUUGACUGAAUGUGACACAAUUGCUCCUUGGUUUGCCGUCUCUGGCAAUCUUAAUGUGUCAUCCUGGGACAAGCUUGGUAGAGAUCUGAAUUUUGCCACUGAACAAGGUACGCUAAGGAAGGGAGUUAGAUUCAUGUGGUUUGAAUUACCGAGACCUCCUGAGUUUGCAGAGGAGAGUGAGCAGCUGCGGCUCCAAGGCCAAGCAGCGCUGAGGGUCUGCAAACCUGCAAACACACAGGACCUGCCUUGAGGACCAACAAGGCCAGAACGCUAGGCCACUCCCAGCGUGUGCCUCAGGGCAUAGAAGCGCAGCACAACCAGGGCUGUUCUGCACUGCCACGCCUCCACCUUCCAGCUCGGUGGGGAGGUAGAGUCUCCUCCUCUCCCCAGUCGCUGCCACGCCUCCACCUUCCAGCUCGGUGGGGAGGUAGAGUCUCCGCCUUUCCCCAGUCACUGCCGUGACCUGCGUCCAAACGAGGCUGAAAAUGGCAGUAAAAAUGCAACGUCCCCGCUCAGCAGGAAGUAGCCAGACAGAUUGACAACGCCCAAAUUCCCUAAAACGUGUAAGUGGGGACCCUUCAAUGGUUGCAGAGCAGCAAGCCUGCUUUCCUGAGUUCCGCUCCACUCUGUGCACCAGUCUGGACCCAGAACGAAUGCAGCUGGGGCAGAAAGGCAGCUGGAGCAGAGCUUUGCUAGGUGGCUGUGGUGGAAGGCACAUUGCCUCAGCAGUCAGUGCCUAGCCUGGCAGAUGCCACAGCAGUGCUAAGAGUAUCAGCAAACGCAACGAGUGCUGGAGCUGAGACAAGCUGGAGCACAGACCCCACAGGGCUGCCCGAGAACGCAGCGUAGCCACAGGGCAAGGAAAAGGCAAUGGUAGUUUUAGGCUCUGCACGCCGCUGAAGAGUUUGCGACAGAGCGAAUUUAAAUCAAGAGACUGCCCUAUUGUAAGAGCAGGUACCUGUGUGUACUGUUUUAGCCAAAGGGUUGGUAGAAUACCAUAGCCCAAAUGGGAGGUUGGGUCUAAUGGUGAUUAGGAACCCUACUGCUGGCAAUCUCAACACCUGUUGUCAUGGGCAUUUAUCUUUAAAUCCUGUGUAAGAUCAGACAACCCAUGAGAAUGCAGCAUAUGGUCACUUAGCAGAAGCAGGAUCAGCUGAGUUGCUAGGGAAGCCAAAGAGGUGCACGAGAAGGUGUCUUCCAUGCACUCAGCUGACAAGAAUGAAUGUGCCACGGGGGUAUGGCAGCUGGGGUAUGUUAAGAGACGCAAGUCCAUACCCUAGUCUGUCAGACAUUUCUAUCCAUCCAGGGCUGUGUGUGACCAGCAUUCAAUAUGACUCAUGCAGCUAAUCUGUCUAAAGAAUUGUCUAGAUAUCUUUUAGGUAAUUGGUCUGGUGAAUUCGAAAACAACUGGAAAAGCUGCGGAUGACGAUUGCGACUGUGAACUCCACACACAUGGAUACCAGCCUGGCAGAAGGACUAUCCUCCUGGAUCACUCCAUGGAUCAUCUGAAGGAGUGGGCGGGAGUAGGAGCCCUAGCAGGCUUAAUGGAGCUUGCCUCCCUGGUAUGCCUGUGGUGCGUCUGUCACAUAAAUGUUUCACAGCAUUGCAAUGCAGUUAUGAUCAUUCAGGCCUUCACGGCCAUUGAAGCAAGUUUGGCUAGAGAUGUAAGCGAGCACAGGAUGCGAGGCUUGCGCACUGCACUUGAGGUAAGCAUACAUCAACCUCAAGAAGAGCAAGUCUGAUUGCAUGUGGGUUGGUGUCUAACUCCCACCUCUGUAAAAAGACACCGGACAGGUCUAGUGUUCUCUGGGUGAAUGACACCUGGACGGACACUAGCACAUGUUCCAUUUUUAACAGAGAUCAGACCUCUACUCUUGCCUUGUAGCUUUACAAAACAAAAAGGGGGAACUGUAGCGAGCUGCAUGGAGCCACACCUGAUGGCUAUGUGUAGAGAGCUGCGUGGAGUCGCACCUGAUGGUGCUGGCUCCCACCCUCCGCGAUCCCGAAAGCGAGUGCUCUCUGUGAUAAUCAACUUCCAAUAUCAACUAGGCCUGACUUAUGCUAUUAUCACGCAAUGAUUGUCAGCUGCUUGCAUAUGCAUGGACCUAUGGGCAGUGCCCACCUGGCAAUCCGGGGUUGGUUGCCCAUGCCUACUUAAGGACUGGGAGAGGUUAGCCCAGGGAGAGAGGAAAAGAGAUAGAGGGAGAGAGUGAGAGUGAGUGAGAGAGAGGGAGAGAGAGAGAUUUUACAAUUGUCAAAAGGUCCUGACUAAAACUGCAGUGAGAAGAGCUCCGGUGGUCACGUCAUCCUUGCUGGACGAGGGGGGCCGCGACAACAUAGGAGACACAUUAUAUUCUUAAAAUGUUUGUUUUAGUCUUAACAUGCAUUGGUUGUUGUGUGAGUACUGGGGACACAGAGGUAACCAACAGAUUUCCACCAUGCUGCUCUCAGGAAAUCCUGAUGUCUUCAUAACCCGAGCUCCAUUUAUUUCUCUGAUCAUGUCUGCAGACUCUUAAGAGCUACAAGAAACUAAUGGGUGACAACUUGUGUCUGGACGCUGUUUGGAAACGAAGGUACAGGAUGAUAAAAAUGUAGUCCAUUUGUUGAUUCACACAUCAGUGCCUUCAGUGAUCUCUGCAGAGCCUUUUCUAACUCCACAUCGCACAGUGAUACCCAGGCAUACAGGGAAACAUUGACCAGCAGAAUUUCCAGAUGGUGGACUCACCAGAUAGUGCAACUACCACACUUGGUACUGGUAGAAACAGUGGGUGGUAUUGAAAGUCAUGUAAUAAUACAACAAAAUACAAAUUUACAGCCUGUAGUAGGAUGGUCUACCCUCCACCCCCACACACAAAAAAAGAUUUUGUUUGGCUUGUUCUUUUCAAGAUGAGAUGAUGAGCCUGACUUUGAACUCGCUUUGUGACUGAGAUGACCUCGAUGCCUACACUUUUAUUGGGAUUACACCCCUGUGUUACCACACUUUACUUGUAGUAAUUUGAAUGCAGAGUACAUAUUCUAGCUGGAACAGAGGUGGUUACUUAUAUUAAAAAGGGAGAGAAGUGGGUAUUUUCAAGAAUGGAAUUAUAAAUAUAAAUCAAACUUUUACAAGCAGAAGAAUUAAAAAAAUGUGGUAUAGCUUGAUAUCAGAGUAGGCACUUACUAGGGAUAAACAUUAAACUUGCAUGAGUUGGCAAAAAUUGCUACAUAUGUAUGCAUACAAUACAGAUUUUUCCUCUUUUUGAUACUGAAUCUUGUGUAGCUGAGGCUAGUAUCAAACUCAUUAUAUAGCCAAGGCUAGCAUCAAACUCACUGUGUAGCUUAGAAUUACAGAAGCUUGCAGAGUCCAGCUCUGCAGACUUCCUCCAGAGUUGAGGUCAGAGGCCACUGUGUAGUGGAAGGGGUUAGAAUAGCUCUAAUCUGAGGGUUUACACAAAAGGCUCACUGUGCUGUUCCGAACAUGUCUCUUUAUUCUACUUCUAUUUUAAUUCUGUCCUAAUUUUCUAUAAUUUCUUAGCUCUAAUUCUCAAUUCUAAUUCCAAUUCUCUGUUCCAGUUAUUUUCCAUUCUUUUUUCUUAUUUUCCUGCAUUAUUUUUCCUACAUUCUCUAUACCUUUACAUUUCUGCCAGCUUCUGUUUGCUCUCUUAGCUUUUACAGACCCACAGAAUCUUGCAGGCAUUACCUCUGAAGGUCACAUACUAUUUCUUAAGUAAAUGAUAAGAAACAGUCAUUCCAACAAUUCACAGUGCAAUAAAUCCAGAUAGUAAGAAAAGAGCACUUUCUUUUAGUUAACUCCCUAACUAGUGGACUGCAAACCGCAGCUGUAAAAGAAGUCUUUUUGUUAUCCAUAGAGGUAGCCUUACAAAACUAAACUAAUAAGAGAGAUAAGGAAAUUGUGUGCUAUAUCCUCUACUUUUAAAAAAGAUUAUGUUUACAGUGUUCUGUCUUCAUGUAUGUCUAUAGGCCAGAAGAGGGAGCCACCAUGUGGUUGCUGGGAAUUGAACUCAGUAUCUCUGGAAGAGUUCUUAACCACUGAGCCAUCUCUCCAGCCCCUAUAUCCUAUACUUUUGAUUGUAUAAAACAUCUUAAACAUUUUGUGAUCAGUAAUCAUAAAGUCCAGGCUUUCUGGGACUGGGGACUUGUUUGUUUACAAAUGUGUCCUCAGAGAGAGGGCAGCAGCAGCUGGAGCUGCAGGGCCAGGGGCAGAGAAGUCCAUACAAAACUCACCAAGGCACAGUGGCAUUGAAAGCAUUUUCAAUCUUAAGAUAUAUUUUUCUGUCCAGCAUGUAACCCUUGACCAUAGAAAGAAAAGCUUGUAAAACUUUUUUUUGGGGGGGGGGGCUAUGAAGUUAGUUUAUAUUUAUAUUUUGUAGCUAACCCUGGCCAGUUAGAGAAUCUUCCAUGGUGCCUGAACAAAGGCUGAGGUUAGGAAUCUGUGUAGAGUUAAUUAUUGUUCCCGGUACUCCAGAUAAAUUACUUUGCACUAUUUACCUUGGCUCAAUAAAUUGUAUAGCUGGCUACAUGUUCUAGUAAAUAAGAUUGUAUUCUUUUUUGUUUUGUUUUUCAAGACAGGGUUUCUUUGUGUAACAGUCCUAGAUGUCCUAGAACUCACUUGUAGACCAGGCUGGCCUUGAACUCAAAAAGAUCCGCCUAUCUCAGCCUCCCAAGUGCUGGGAUUAAAGGUGUGCACUACCACCGCCCAGCUAAGAUUGUAUUCUUUUGGUAAUAGUUUACCUUAAAAUCCAAUUAGCAAAGCACCUGGCCUGAUCUAAACUUUAAAGUUUUAUAUCAGUUGAUAGUGUGUGGCUAUCUUGGCAGCUGGGGAAAUUACAGUGUUUUCUUAAGCUGUACUCUAGUUCCACUUUUAAUGGAAGCUUAGAACUUCUGACUUGGGCAGCAUUUGUUUUAUUCAUCAAAACUCGGUAUAGGUUAACAGUAUUAAUACUAAUUGGAUAAUACAGCUAAGGCAGAACCCUCUUCUUGACAAUUCACAGAUAAAAAUGCCCAGUAGAUCAGGAAUGUAUUCAUGCGAUACACACACACACACACACACACACACACACACACAUUACAGGCUAGGGAAAGAAUGCAUUUAGCACAUUUAAAAUUAUAGGGAGAAACGUCAGAUAUUCUGGCGUCUGUAUUUCUUGCAGGUCUUGCAAGGCACACUUCCUCCAUCAGAAGUUAAUUCUGGUCGGUUGACACCUUGAAUAUUAAUUGCUCCUGUAAUAAAUGAUAAAGGCUCUCUGCCAGAAUGACCCUGAACUCAUCCUGCAGCCAGUGCAGGUGUGAACUACUGAUUCUGUAUUCUGCAGUGCUGAGGAUUGAAUCCAGAGUUCAAUGUCCAGUGCAUGCCGGACAUUUCAACCCUUUGAGGACUCAACAAGGCCUUAAUGUGGUGUGGGAGGUCCUUCUGUCUAUGUGUUGCUUUCAUUGGUUAAUAAAGGAGCUGCUUUGGGCCUGUAGCAGAGCUGUAGGGGAACAGAGCUAGAAGGGAAAGAUAAAUGGAAUUCUGGGAAGAAGAGGGAGAGAGAGACACCAUGGAGCCACCAGAGUCAGACAUGCUGAGUCUUUGCCAUUAAGCCACUGCCAUGUGGCGAUAUACAGAUUAAUAGAAAUGGGUUAAAUUAAUAUAAAAGUUAGUCAAUAAGAGGCUAGAGCUAAUGAACCAAGCAGUGUUUUAAUUAAUACAGUUUCUGUGUGGUUACUUUGGGGCUAAGCUAGCCAGGCGGCUGGGACGAACAACUGGGCCCUCCUCCAACAUUAAUGUCUUGUCCAUGUUGUCUUUGAAUUCAUGUUUCCAGCCUCUGGUGUAGCUGGGUUUACAGGUGGAUGCCACUGCAGCUGACUUCAGAGUUUAAGAUAGAUGUGAGUAAUGAGAGCUAAAAAUAGACAAAUUCACUUUCAAGGUAGUUGAUUUAAAGCUGGGCCUGGUAUGGCUGCCAGUGGUGUCAUACAGUUUUAAUGCCAACACUUGAGAUGUUGGCAGAUCUCUGUGAGUUCAAGACCAGCCUGGUCUACAUAACAAGUUCCAGGCUGGACUACAUAUUGAGACCCUUUCAAAAAAAAUGUUUGCAUGAUAGGAUUAAUGGCAGGCAAGACAUAAAGAGAAGAUUGGUGUGUGUGUGUGUGUAUACAAGUACAUGUGUGCUUUAGCACAUGUUUAGCAUAUGUACAAAGGUCAAAGGGCAACGUUCCAAGAGUUGGUUUUCCCCUAUCAUGUAUCCCAGGUAUUGAGUUCAGGCCAUCAGGCUGGGUGACAAGUGCCUUUACCAGUAGGGACAAGGUUUAUGCAGAUUUUUCAUUCACAUAAGGGACCUGAGACUGUAGACUGAACCUGCAGGGUUCUGGAAGCAAUUCCCUGUGCACACUGAUGGGUGACUGCAUUUUUCUACAGGGCCAAAUACUCGGUGGAUUUAAUAAAGUGAGACUUAGUGACAUUUGUUUGUAGUGCUGCCAUCAUGAGUCACAGUAUUUCACAGGCUAUUUUUUUUUUGUUUGUUUCCAGAAGGGAACUGAUUCACACUCUGCUUGUGGGUAUCAGUAUUUGAGGAAUUUCCAGAAAUUACCUGCAAAGUCUUUACCCAGAACUGUGAAGUCUUCUGUAAUUAGAAACAAAGUGUUCAUGUCUCCAGUUCACCUGAAGGCUUCAUCCAGGUGAAAGAGUUGGCUGUGACCUGGUUCCUGGUCUCUUCAUUGCUAACUAGGCACUAAGGAUGAGAUUCCAAAGCUAUCUGCUGCCAUCUUCCAUCCCAGCCUGGCCGUGAUACCUCUUUCAUUUGGGAAUUCUUUCCUUCUGGAGGUCUGAGCCCACCUCAUCUACUCAGCAGGUGCACCUGGUCCAGUCUAGGGUUGAGAGUAUCCCAGUCCAUCCUCAGCAGAAGGUCAGAGGUUACGCUUGGGAUUGAGGAAACUCUUCAGAGGAGUCUUUCUCUGAAUGGAAGUUGAGAGAGACAACAUCUUUCUGUCAGGUUUUAAGGGUAUGGAGGGACUGGAAGAGUGACUGCCCUACUGUGACAGGAGCAAGCCUAAUAUUAGUCUUCAGGGGUAAAUGAAGUUCAUACAGAGGAGAAUAGAAAGGAGAAAGAAAGUACUAAUGACUUUAUGUGCUUAGGAAUGGCAGGAACUUUUUAUAGCAGGAGUGGGUCUCAGUAUUAACAAGGAUUUAAGAUGGGAG